UACGUAGGUGACAAGCGUUGUCCGGAUUUACUGGGCGUAAAGAGCGCGCAGGCGGUCGUUCAAGUCGAGUGUGAAAGCCCCCGGCUCAACUGGGGAGGGUCAUUCGAUACUGAUCGACUCGAAGGCAGGAGAGGGUAGUGGAAUUCCCGGUGUAGUGGUGAAAUGCGUAGAUAUCGGGAGGAACACCAGUGGCGAAGGCGACUAUCUGGCCUGUUCUUGACGCUGAGGCGCGAAAGCUAGGGGAGCAAACGGG
rnacentral:rRNA from 1 species